rnacentral:rRNA from 1 species
GAUGAACGCUGGCGGCGUGCCUUAAGCACGCAAGUCGAACGAAUGGAUUAAGAGCUUGCUCUUAUGAAGUUAGCGGCGGACGGGUGAGUAACACGUGGGUAACCUGCCCAUAAGACUGGGAUAACUCCGGGAAACCGGGGCUAAUACCGGAUAACAUUUUGAACCGCAUGGUUCGAAAUUGAAAGGCGGCUUCGGCUGUCACUUAUGGAUGGACCCGCGUCGCAGUAGCUAGUUGGUGAGGUAACGGCUCACCAAGGCAACGAUGCGUAGCCGACCUGAGAGGGUGAUCGGCCACACUGGGACUGAGACACGGCCCAGACUCCUACGGGAGGCAGCAGUAGGGAAUCUUCCGCAAUGGGCGAAAGUCUGACGGAGCAACGCCGCGUGAGUGAUGAAGGCUUUCGGGUCGUAAAACUCUGUUGUUAGGGAAGAACAAGUGCUAGUUGAAUAAGCUGGCACCUUGACGGUACCUAACCAGAAAGCCACGGCUAACUACGUGCCAGCCGCCGCCGUAA